rnacentral:rRNA from 1 species
UACGGAGGGGGCAAGCGUUGUUCGGAAUUACUGGGCGUAAAGGGCGCGUAGGCGGCCCGCUAAGUCGAACGUGAAAUCCCCGAGCUCAACUCGGGAACUGCGUCCGAUACUGGCGGGCUUGAAUCCGGGAGAGGGAUGUGGAAUUCCAGGUGUAGCGGUGAAAUGCGUAGAUAUCUGGAGGAACACCGGUGGCGAAGGCGGCAUCCUGGACCGGUAUUGACGCUGAGGCGCGAAAGCCAGGGGAGCAAACGGG